CCUACGGGUAGCAGCCGUGGGGAAUAUUGCACAAUGGGGGAAACCCUGCUGCAGCGACGCCGCGGGAGUGCGGAAGUAUUUCGGUAUGUAAAGCUCUAUCAGCAGGGAAGAAAAUGACGGUCCCUUACUAAGAAGCCCCGGCUAACUACGUGCCAGCAGCCGCGGUAAUACGUAGGGGGCAAGCGUUCUCCGGAUUUACUGGGUGUAAAGGGAUAGUAGACGGUGAAGCAAGUCAGAAGUGAAAACCCAGGGCUCAACCUUGGGACUGCUUUUGAAGCUGAGUAGCGAGAGUGCAGGAGAGGUAAGCGGAAUUCCUAGUGUAGCGGUGAAAUGCGUAGAUAUUAGGAGGAACACCAGUGGCGAAGGCGGCUUACUGGACUGUAACUGACGUUGAGGCUCGAAAGCGUGGGGAGCAAACAGGAUUAGAUACCCGAGUAGUC
rnacentral:rRNA from 1 species